CCAAGAUGAAAUUGUAUCAGAUGGAUCUGGACUGGCAACAUAAAGAUGAGAUGUGGGACAGUAAUGUGGAAGAUGCACCAAGUGAAAUGUCGGGUCUGAUGGUCCAGCAAAGUAAAACCCCAAGAGAGGAUUGUUCCCAAUCUAGCAAGCUGCUAUCAGCCUGCAUUGCUUGCAGCCCAGCCUGGCUCAUCACGCAGCAGCAAGGAACAGCAGCCAGCGUCUGUCUGGUCAGCCUUACAUAUGAAUGAAAGGAAUGCAGCCUCCUUCCGCUGCCUUCCACCCCCCACCUGC